GCAGGCUUCCUGGGGAACCAUUUGAGCUUUGAAGGUGGGGAAGAGGAAUGUCAGAGAGUGGGCAAAAUACAACAGGAAAGGUCCAAAUUCACCCUCUGAGGGCCCGGGGCACGGGGGCAGCCUGCUCUCCUCCUGGGGCCCUGUUCCCUGUGGGGACUGGAAGAGAGGCUUUGAGUCUAGGGCCUGGGGCAGCCAGGACUGACGGGGGUGCAGUCCUAGAAGGGUCGGCAGUCACGGUGGCCCACCAUGGCAUCUCCGUAUCCUUGCUGCAUGCUGCACCCACUCCAGCUGCCAGAGCACGGAGGCAGAGACGUGGGAGCCGAUGAAGGUCGCACGCCAGCCUCCCACCUGUGAGACAAAGGGCCCUGUCACUGGAAGCCACGUCCAGCCUGGCCCCGCAGGAGCCAGGGCUCUGCGCCUAACGGAGGACUGAUGGGAAAGGGAAGGCUGGCAGCAGUGAGCAGGGGCUAAGGACUGUCCUUGGAUCUCAGUAGGACAGCUGACCUUCCCUCCACCCAAUGACUGCUCCAGUCUGAUCGUUCCUGGCCACCUGAUAAUCUCUUUGUGCAAACACCAGGAAGCCCUGGUUAGAGGUGUGGACACCAGGUGUUCUUGAGGAGGACAGUGGUGACUCAGUUUUAUCUGACCCCAUGCUCUCAAGUUCCUUUUCUGUGAGACACUUCUUAUGUGCUACUUUGGACCCUCUCACUUAUCUGUGGGCCAUUGGCCACUGGCCCCAGCCACAGCUGAGACCACCAACUCUGCAUGGACUCAGACAGGCUUCACCCAGGCACACCCAGCAGCCCCUGCCUCAGGUCCCAGCUAUGCACCCCUUAGGCUUGCCUGGAUACUAGGAUGGGAGACACUGCAUCCAUCCAUCCACGACCAGCAAGUAGAGGCAAUUAAUACCCUUCAGGCGACCCAACGCGAGCUGGGAGCCUGUGCACAAAUUAUUCUCCUUUUCUCCCAAAAGGAUUGUGCCGAGAAACAUUUGUGCAGCUUCCCGGAGGAUGGCCCUUGGGGUCGAGCAAGCAGUUAUGUUUGUUACCAAGCCUCGGCCAGCUCCAUAACACACCCUGGAGUUGGCACCACUUCCUUCCCAGCUACACUCCCCUUUCUCUCACACCUGCUCCCUGGGGUCACCUCCCUACCAAAGGAGGGGCACAGGAGCCUUUGUUUCCCGCUCUGCUUUCCAAGAAACCCAAACCAAGCCAUGCUGAGUUCCUUCCAGAGCUCCACUUCCACUUCACGGGAUCCUCUUAGUACCACAGUCAGCACCCAACAUGCCUCUGAGAUGGGCGUGUGAUCCUGACUGGCCAGUCGGCGCCUUAUUUCUCUGGCCACAGAACUUGGCUCAGGAGAUGACAUGUGACCAAUCCGAAUUUUCCCUGGGGACUGAUACGUGGACACCAGGGACCUCGUGCACCAGUAAGGUCGCUGCCUUCCUUCUCUGCCAGAGAUGAUUCUGUCUCAUCCAAUCAAGACUUGAGUGGACUCCAGCUUCCCAGAAAGCCUUUCUCCAUCAUCCCAGCCCCACGAGAUCUUACCCGCUUCACUGGUAACACCCAGAAUCCUCAGCACAACUGCUACCACCAGGCACACAUGGUUCUACCUGGCUAACUACAGUGGAUUCAUUGCCCAAAUGAGGACACAGUGAGGAGGUGGUCAUCAGCAACCCAGGAAGAGUGGCCUCACCAGAAACUGACCCUGCCAGACCUCGAUCUGAGACUUCCAGCCUCCAGAACUGUGGGACAUAAAUUCCUGUUGUUUAAGGUACUCAGUCUGCAGUGUUUUAUUAUGGCAGCUCAGGUAGACUGACAACAUACUUGCCAUAUAUGGGUGUUUUUUGCAGUGUAAAGUCCCAGGGAAGAAAUAUCAAUAGCUGACAGAUCUCUUAACCAUCAAUUUCAUCCCACUUUGUUCAUAUAAUUGAAAUAGUCCUGUCUUUGGGG
rnacentral:lncRNA from 1 species